rnacentral:lncRNA from 1 species
UCCCAGAUAUCUACUGUAAGCAAAUUUCAUUUGAGCCUCUACUGUAAAUAAAUUUCUUUCGAACUUCUAUUACAGGUAGACUUCAGCCAAGCUUCUUCAUGGCUGGAUCCCAGACGAGCUUCUACCAUGGGGCAGGAUCCACCGCCUCCUACAAUAAGCAGCCUCCUUUUCGCCUCCCACAAGAAUCGGACUCCAUUCGAACUUCCACAGUGGAUGGAUUUCGGACGAGCUUCUGCAAGAACUGGACUCUGUCCGAACUUCCAUAGCGGAUGGAUUCC